rnacentral:rRNA from 1 species
UACGAGGGAUCCUAGCGUUGUUCGGAAUCAUUGGGCGUAAAGCGGAUGUAGGUGGCUUUGUAAGUCAGAUGUGAAAGCCCCGGGCUCAACCCGGGAAGUGCAUUUGAUACUGCGAAGCUUGAGUGCUAGAGAGGUUACUAGAAUACCUGGUGUAGUGGUGAAAUACGUAGAUAUCAGGUGGAAUACCGGAGGCGAAGGCGGGUAACCAGCUAGACACUGACACUCAGAUCCGAAAGUGUGGGGAUCAAACAGG